rnacentral:rRNA from 1 species
GAUGAACGCUGGCGGCGUGCCUAAUACAUGCAAGUCGAGCGAACAGACGAGGAGCUUGCUCCUCUGACGUUAGCGGCGGACGGGUGAGUAACACGUGGAUAACCUACCUAUAAGACUGGGAUAACUUCGGGAAACCGGAGCUAAUACCGGAUAAUAUAUUGAACCGCAUGGUUCAAUAGUGAAAGACGGUUUUGCUGUCACUUAUAGAUGGAUCCGCGCCGCAUUAGCUAGUUGGUAAGGUAACGGCUUACCAAGGCAACGAUGCGUAGCCGACCUGAGAGGGUGAUCGGCACCACGGGAACUGAGAAACGGGCCAGCAUCAUACGGGAGGCAGCAGUAGGGAAUCGUCCGCAAUGGGCGAAAGCUUGACGGAGCAACGCCGCGUGAGUGAUGAAGGUCUUCGGAUCGUAAAACUCUGUUAUUAGGGAAGAACAAUGUGUAAGUAACUAUGCACGUCUUGACGGUACCUAAUCAGAAAGCCACGGCUAACUACGUG